UACGUAGGGGGCAAGCGUUGUCCGGAUUUAUUGGGCGUAAAGAGCGUGUAGGCGGCCAGACAGGUCAGCUGUGAAAACUCGAGGCUUAACCUCGAGAUGUCGGCGGAAACCAUCUGGCUAGAGUCCGGAAGAGGAGAGUGGAAUUCCUGGUGCAGCGGUGAAAUGCGCAGAUAUCAGGAAGAACACCCGUGGCGAAGGCGGCUCUCUGGGACGGUACUGACGCUGAGACGCGAAAGCGUGGGGAGCGAACAGG
rnacentral:rRNA from 1 species